CUACGGAGGGGGUUAGCGUUGUUCGGAAUUACUGGGCGUAAAGCGCACGUAGGCGGAUUAAAAAGUUAGAGGUGAAAUCCCGGGGCUCAACCCUGGAACUGCCUUUAAAACUAGUAGUCUAGAGUUCGAGAGAGGUGAGUGGAAUUCCAAGUGUAGAGGUGAAAUUCGUAGAUAUUUGGAGGAACACCAGUGGCGAAGGCGGCUCACUGGCUCGAUACUGACGCUGAGGUGCGAAAGCGUGGGGAGCAAACAGGAUUAGAAACCCCAGUAGUCC
rnacentral:rRNA from 1 species